rnacentral:rRNA from 1 species
CCUACGGGUGGCAGCAGUAGGGAAUUUUCCACAAUGGGCGAAAGCCUGAUGGAGCAACGCCGCGUGGGUGAAGAAGGUCUGCGGAGCGUAAAAACCUGUUGGUAGAGAAGAAAGUGCGUGAGAGUAACUGUUCACGUCUAGACGGUAUCUAACCAGAAAGCCACGGCUAACUACGUGCCAGCAGCCGCGGUAAUACGUAGGGGGCAAGCGUUAUCCGGAUUUAUUGGGCGUAAAGGGAACGCAGGCGGUCUUUUAAGUCUGAUGUGAAAGCCUUCGGCUUAACCGGAGUAGUGCAUUUGACACUGGGAGACUUGAGUGCAGCAGAGGCGAGUGGAACUCCAUGUGUAUCGGUGAAAUGCGUAGAUAUCU